rnacentral:rRNA from 1 species
CAGCCGCCGCGGUAAAACGAAGGUCCCGAGCGUUGUUCGGAAUCACUGGGCGUAAAGGGAGCGUAGGCGGCGUGGUAAGUCAGAUGUGAAAUCCCGGGGCUCAACCCCGGAACUGCAUCCGAUACUGCCGUGCUAGAGGAUUGGAGAGGUAGCUGGAAUUCUUGGUGUAGCAGUGAAAUGCGUGGAGAUCAAGAGGAACACUCGUGGCCAAAGCGAGCUACUGGACAAUAUCUGACGCUGAGGCUCGAAGGCCAGGGUAGCGAAAGGGAUUAGAGACCCCGGUAGUCCCUGUCUCUUAUAC